rnacentral:rRNA from 1 species
UACGGAGGGAGCUAGCGUUGUUCGGAAUUACUGGGCGUAAAGCGCACGUAGGCGGCUACUCAAGUCGGGGGUGAAAGCCCGGGGCUCAACCCCGGAACUGCCCUCGGAACUAGGUGGCUAGAAUCUUGGAGAGGUCAGUGGAAUUCCGAGUGUAGAGGUGAAAUUCGUAGAUAUUCGGAAGAACACCAGUGGCGAAGGCGACUGACUGGACAAGUAUUGACGCUGAGGUGCGAAAGCGUGGGGAGCAAACAGG